UUAAGUUCAGCGGGUAGUCCUACCCGAUUUGAGGUCAGAAGAAGAACGGUAGAAAACCGUCAAAGUCGACCGCCACUCCAGAGGCAAGGUCAAGGCCGAGCGCGCAAGGGGAAAGCCGAUGGCCAGCAAGCGAGGUAGAUACAACGCCAGAGGCACGCAGGCGAUCCCAAGCCCAACCGAUGCAUUUAAGGGGAGCCGCG
rnacentral:misc_RNA from 1 species